rnacentral:rRNA from 1 species
GACGAACGCUGGCGGCGUGCUUAACACAUGCAAGUCGAACGGAAAGGCCCUGCUUUUGUGGGGUGCUCGAGUGGCGAACGGGUGAGUAACACGUGUGUAACCUGCCCUUGACUUUGGGAUAACUUCAGGAAACUGGGGCUAAUACCGGAUAGGAGCUCCUGCUGCAUGGUGGGGGUUGGAAAGUUUCGGCGGUUGGGGAUGGACUCGCGGCUUAUCAGCUUGUUGGUGGGGUAGUGGCUUACCAAGGCUUUGACGGGUAGCCGGCCUGAGAGGGUGACCGGCCACAUUGGGACUGAGAUACGGCCCAGUCUCCUACGGGAGGCAACAGUGGGGAAUAUUGCACAGUGGGCGGAAGCCUGAUGCAGCAACGCCGCGUGCGGGAUGACGGCCUUCGGGUUGUGAACCGCUUUCGCCUGUGACGAAGCGUGAGUGACGGUAAUGAGUAAAGAAGCACCGGCUAACUACGUG